CUUUGCGCUUGCUGUGCCCCCGCCGGGUGCACCCCCAGACACCUGCGUGGCUUGCUUUCUCAUUUUCUCAAGCCUUUGCCCUUCUCAAUGGCACUUAUUCCCGCCUGACGAACCAUAGAGUCGGCUCCACAGUGGAAGGGGUGUUUAUAUCUUGUUCCCAGCUGGACUCCUAAUAGCGCCUGGUACACAGGUAUUCCAUGAACACUCGUUGAAUAAAUGCAGGGAGACCCGUUCCUGGGUCGAAGGAGGACUGCCCUCUGUGCCUCAGUGGGACCCACGGGAUAAGACAGUGCAAGGCCUGCGGGGUGUGGCCUUGUUUUUGAGAGCAAAGAGAACCUAACCACUCCCCUCUCCAAAAAAUUAAUCAGCAAAAACUGCACUAUCACCUGGCACAGGCCCGGAACAUUUCUCAGGUUAAUUCCAGCCCAGUCAUGAACUUAUUUCCCUCAUCUACUCAACAGAACGUUCAUGGGUCACCUGCCACAUGCCACACUUUGUGAUGGGUGGUACAAGGACACAACACGGAACGCAACGCAACAGGCAAUGAAAGUGGCUCGGUGGCUCAGGGAGACAGAGCUGGACGCAGGCACCCCAGCCCCGUGAGGCUGAGCCAGAGGAUGGGUCCCUAAGGUCGUACUGGCUCUGCCUGGGGAGACAGACGGGGUUUCCUAGGGGAGGGGGCAUUUGAGCCAGGGCUUUGAGGAAUGAAUAGGAGUAGGUUAGAGUUGGGCCUCCCGCAAAAGGGGGCACAGGAACCAGACUGUCAAGGCAUUAAAAAUUGGAGCCUGUGUACAAAGGAUCUUGAAUGUCAGGGUAGGGACAGGGACUUCUCUGACAGUCAGUCUUGUCCCCCUCAAGGUUCAGGGGGGAUUCCAAGCCAUUCCUGGUCUGGCCACUAGAGAGUAUGCAGGUCCCAUCACUGGGAAUCCAGGAAACCCCAGAUCCAGGGAGGGCAGUUCAUUUCAGGCCACUCAAGCCCAGCCCCUAGCUCAUUUCAUACCACCAACAUUCAUUCAUUCAUUCAUUCAUUCAUUCAUCCUGUAGAAGUUUAUGAGGUAUUGAGCAAGAGGCCUUACAACCAUCAGGCCUGUGUUCAAAUCCCACCAAGUCAUGCUGGCUGUGUGACCCCGGGUAGGUCACUUAACUCCUCUGUGCAAAUGGCAGAACCCACCUCCCGGGUUUUGGGAUUGGAUGAGGCUGGGAGCACACAUGGGCACACACGGCACUUCCUUGGUCCUCGCUGGUCCCCUUGGGUGGGCCAAGCUGCAUCCCACCUCACGACCCCUGUCUGGUCAUGCCCUCUGCUGGGCACGCCCUUCCCACUGUCCCUUCUGUUUCCUUGCUUCUGUUUCCAAUCCCUCCCUGAGGGAGCCCCAUCCCAUACUGCACCCCGCUGCCUGGCACCCUCUUUCCUUCUCCUACGGCUAUCCCCAAAUCCAGGAGUUAUCAAUGGCGUCUCCCAAUACAUGAGGCCAGUACUCAGCAUAUAGUAGAUGCCCCAUAGAUUCUUGAAUAAACGAAUAAUUAGUGAGUGCCUGCUGCGUGCCAGGCCCAGGCAGGGUUUGUGUACUAUAAAACUAAGAGCUAAGUAUGUGCUGGGCCUGAAGUUUAAUCUUCAUGCAAGCACCAUGAUCUGAGGAAAAUGAAGACCCCCAUUUUAUAGUUGGGGAGACUGAGGGCUCAAACAUGGUCAUGCGGCAGGGCCAGGACUCAGGCACAGGCCAUUGGGUCUCUGUGCCCUCUGCAUGGGCUCUUGCCUGCUGGCUACCCUGGGACUGUGGCACUGGAAUGCAAGCACUCAGGCCGUGUCUGCAAAUGACCCGGUGUCUCUGCUGUUCUGGGGCCCUCAGGUACCCACUUCCGGCCCUGUGGCUACCUUGCUGCUGCUGCUGCUGCUGCUGGGACAGACCUGGGAGGGCGCUCUGAUUGCCAGGCACAGUGAAACACAACUUGAGGGUUGCCCAGCACUUCCCGAGAAAGGCUCUGAAAGUGGGUUGAGGAGGUAGGCGGCACCUGGGCCCUACACAUACCCCCCAGGACAGGGCCAUGCCUCCCUCCUCAGACUUCCCACAACACGGUUGUGCUUCCCCCUAGCCACUGCAAGACAAGGACCAACAGCCCCUCCAAGACUCAGUCUUUCAUCUGUAAAGUGGGUCUGCCUCCCACCUCCCGGGCAGGCUGCCUCUGCACGUGGCGGCUGUGAUUAUAGUCUCCCAGCUCUCUCUAGUUGCUGGACCUUUCACGUGCCUUCCCCUUUGCCGGGAGCACCCUUUCCUUCCGCCGCGGCCGCCGCCACGCUGAGCCAGGGGCCUCAGGGGCAGAGGGGAAGUUGCCCUGACACCGUGCACCCUUGAGUCUCCGCCUUGGGCGGGUGACUUCUGCUCUUGCUAGGUUUCCUCGCCUGUCACCCAGGGACACAGUAGCUUUUGUCCUCUGUGUGGGGAGAUUUCAGGAGGUGGAGCCUGUACAAGGGCAGGGCCCCCCCCCCCCUCCUAAUCCUCUCCCAGGUUCACUCUGUUCCUUUUCUUGUGGCUUUGUAGUGUGUUUUGAUCUUGAUUUGGGGCAAGUGACCAUGUUUGAACUUCUUUUCUUUCUCAUUUAUUUUUCCAGAUGAGAGUUAGAACGGUCUUGGUUCGUUCUCAGGAGGGACCAAGCCAUGGAGAUUCCGACUGGAGCCACAUUCAACCACCAGAGAGCUGGUGGCAUUAAGUGGCCUGUCCUGGGCCAGGGGGCAGGUGUGCCCUCACGUAUUCACCUGCUUAGUUCAAAUCAAGCCUCAGGGAGGAGCCUUCGGGGACGUCGGGGUUGGAGAAAGCGAGUUCCCAUGUUGCAGGCAAGAGGCCGAGGCACCAAGCAGGUAGGGCCACUGGCCCACCAGCCAGUAUUCCUACAGGUGUGAAUGUGCCACCGUCUGAGUACGCAGUUUUUGUCUUUUAAAAAUUUUAUGUGUGUAUUUUGAGUUGUGUCUUUUCUCCCCCAUUUUAAAAUUUUUAUUUGAGAGAGAAAGAGAGAGAGAGAGAGACAAUGAAUCCCAAGCAGGCUCCACACUCAGCCUGACUCUGGGCUCCAUCUCAUGACCCUGGGAUCACCACCUGAGCAGAAAUCAACAGUCAGACACUCAACCGACUGAGCCACCCAGGCAUCCCUUCCCUUUCUAUUCGUGCUUGUUGGCUUGUACUUUUUAUUUCUAUCUUUCACUUUAUUCAUACACGCCCAGGUGUGUCUCCAAAAAGCGAGCUACUCGCUUACCUGAACCGAAGGCACAUUUACCAAAGACACAAAGUCACGGCUCAUCCGCAGCCUCAUCCAAGCUGGCUGCUCAUCUCCAUGGUUUUGUCUCGUUCCGCGUCCUGUGGUUGUCAAUUCUCCCACACGGGACAUUUUUGGCCGUGACCUUACACACGGCAUAGGCUUGGAUCAGGCCACGCGAGUUCUGGUGCUUUCUCUUCCCGUUCACAGGCCCAACCCCAGAACACUGGACACCUGAGCAAACAGACGACGGGCCAAGGUGGAUGACAGGACAAGGACGUGCCCAGGUCGCCCCUGUGCCGGGUGGUGAGGACGUGCCCUGGGGGCGAGAAUGCUGCAGGGUGGAGGACGCGCCCUGGGGGCGAGGACGCAGAGGCCACCGGCCGGACAGCGGCGAGCGCUGCGACCCCCGGACACAUCUGAUUUUGGUCGCUGAGACCCGCCUCAGACCCCUGACCCCCAGCACCGCGAGGCGUCGGGUUUGUGCAGCUAGAAUCGCGGUCAUCUGUUAGAGCAGCAAACGGGAACCGAAUCCAUCAAGCUCUCACGGGUCACGUGCACACACGCUCGGCCGCGCCGUCUUCCAGUCCCCGCCCUGGCAGGUUGUCUCUCCUACCAUUGGCCAGAUCUGGGUCACAUGGUCACGCCUAAACCAAUGGCUAGCAAGAGGAGGGCGGGCCCUACCUUUGGUUACAAAUCAUACUGCCGGCUCCCUGCCCAAGAUCUGGUCACUGUGCGGGGACGGCGGUGCGGUGGGGGCGCUUGGGGGUGGCGUGGAAGCGUUGCAGCGAGGAUUGCAUGGAUUGAGCAGGAAGGGCCUGGAACCCAGGCUGAGAAGCCUGGACUUCGUCCAGGGGCCAUGGGGAGCCACGGUGGCGUUUGAGAGGGGAGGGCACAUCCGAUGAAGGCGUCAUGAAGCCCAGCUCUGACCAGAGUUCUCCCGUAGCAUCCACCAUCCCCGAGUCUUCAGGUGCUGCCUUGGUUAUCAACAUCACAUACCCUAUCGGAGAACCCACAAGGCCUUGAAGUUUUCAGGUCCUAGUGCAAGGGCUGUGGACAUUGAGUGAGUGUGGAGUCCAUCACAAGCCUUCUUCCGGCUUGAGGAAGCCAAAGGGGACCCUCUCACUGUGGCACCAAACCCAUUCUGGGGGUCAGAAGUCCACCCCUGAACCAAAAUCGAGGUAUUGCAAUGGCAGGUCACGUACAUCACUGUGACCACAGAGGGAAGUGGUCUCCGCUUUUGACGAUCCUCUGAUUCCACUGGGCCCACCUGCGAGUCCCGGACCGUUUCCCUGAUCCAAACCUUUGAGGUGGGUUUUCUCUUACCUGUAGCACAAACAUCCUAUCACUUCUGUCCCCACACCCCCUUCCUCACCAUUGUUCAGUCCAAUGCGAUUUAAAUGUUCUCCUCCUCUGGGAAGUCUACCUGGGCCUCCCCAGUCUGCACUGGGUAUAGCAUCCUCCAUCACAGUCCUGAUCACUUUGGAUUGUCAUUGCCUGUUUUCUGUGGGGUCAGGAGGAGUGCAGCCUGGGGCCACGGGGAGUCAUGGUGGAUGUCUGAGCUGGGGGAGGAGCCUUAUGGUAGACAGCCAAGGUAGGAAGCGGGCUGCAGGGGAUGAGGCUGAGACCAGUUCAGGGUGGACAGGAGGGCAUGAAAAGGAGAGACCAAAUGGGGGGGGGGGGGAGAGGGCUCCCCAGAGAGGGCCAGUGUCUUGCUUAAGGUCACCCAGCACAUGGCCUCUGGGUCGGAGAGAUAGGCCAGGAUGGGAGGCAGGAGGCUGCUGGCAACUGGUCUCAGUUUCGAACCCACGCCAGGCCAACAAUGACCCUUUGGUUUGCACAAACCCAGGCUGGGGCGGCUGAACCACAGCAGGGUCAGCCCUCGGCCAAGGCCACAAUGUCCAGCUCUCGCACACCCCUGGUGAGGACAUAGGGUCCCAUCCCCGCCCCAUCCCCCACCGGGGGAGAAUCCCCUCACAUACUCAGAGGCCAAGGACAGGCCAAGAAGCUGGGUGUCCUCCCUCAGUGCCACUGGGCAGGAACGUGGCCCUUGGCCACGGGUGGGGGCACAUGGGUCAGGCUGAGCAGCUGAGAUGGGGCAGAGGUCUAGGCGUGGUGUAUGCUGCUGACAGAUCUCGUGUACACGGAAGGCGUCUGCUGUGUGGCUGCAGGGAUCUUUGGGUUCCAUACCCGGGGAAGGAGUGGGGGGAGAUGCGGGAAUGGGGGGGUGACGAGGCACCCCCCCCCACGAUACACCAUACUGCUCGCAAGCGUUUUUAUUUUCCCAAAAGCAUUUCCCCUCUUUGAA